rnacentral:rRNA from 1 species
AUCAACUUUCGAUGGUAGGAUAGAGGCCUACCAUGGUGGUAACGGGUAACGGGGUGUUAGGGCACGACACCGGAGAGGGAGCCUGAGAAACGGCUACCACAUCCAAGGAUGGCAGCAGGCGCGCAAAUUACCCAAUCCCGACACGGGGAGGUAGUGACAAUAAAUAACAAUACGGGGUUCUUUCGGAUUUCGUAAUUGGAAUGAGUACAAUUUAAAUCUCUUAACGAGGAACAAUUGGAGGGCAAGUCUGGUGCCAGCAGCCGCGGUAAUUCCAGCUCCAAUAGCGUAUAUUAAAGUUGUUGCAGUUAAAAAGCUCGUAGUUGAAUUUCGGGAUCAAAUUGUCGGUCGUGCCUCGGUACGUACUGGUAUUAUUGGUUCUUCCCUUCUGACGAACCACGAUGUCAUUAAUUUGGUGUCAUGGGAAAUCAGGACUGUUACUUUGAAAAAAUUAGAGUGUUUAAAGCAGGCUCGCGCUUGAAUACAUUAGCAUGGAAUAAUGAAAUAGGACGUUUGAUUCUAUUUUGUUGGUUUCUAGGAUCGACGUAAUGAUUAAUAGGGAUAGUUGGGGGCAUUAGUAUUCAAUUGUCAGAGGUGAAAUUCUUGGAUUUAUUGAAGACUAACUACUGCGAAAGCAUUUGCCAAGGAUGUUUUCAUUAAUCAAGAACGAAAGUUAGGGGAUCGAAGACGAUCAGAUACCGUCGUAGUCUUAACCAUAAACUAUGCCGACUAGGGAUCGGAUGAUGUUAAUUUUUUAAUGACUCAUUCGGCGCCUUACGGGAAACCAAAGUGUUUGGGUUC